rnacentral:rRNA from 1 species
AUUGAACGCUGGCGGCAUGCUUUACACAUGCAAGUCGAACGGUAACAGGUCUUCGGAUGCUGACGAGUGGCGAACGGGCGAGUAAUACAUCGGAACGUGCCUAGUAGUGGGGGAUAACUACUCGAAAGAGUAGCUAAUACCGCAUGAGAUCUACGGAUGAAAGCAGGGGACCUUCGGGCCUUGUGCUACUAGAGCGGCUGAUGGCAGAUUAGGUAGUUGGUGGGGUAAAGGCUUACCAAGCCUGCGAUCUGUAGCUGGUCUGAGAGGACGACCAGCCACACUGGGACUGAGACACGGCCCAGACUCCUACGGGAGGCAGCAGUGGGGAAUUUUGGACAAUGGGCGAAAGCCUGAUCCAGCAAUGCCGCGUGCAGGAUGAAGGCCCUCGGGUUGUAAACUGCUUUUGUACGGAACGAAAAGCCUGGGGCUAAUAUCCCCGGGUCAUGACGGUACCGUAAGAAUAAGCACCGGCUAACUACGUG